UGGAUAUUUUCAGUACAUUGAAUGUACUUAAUCUUUAGCUUCUAGGUUUUGAUGAAAAGAUCUUGAAAGCACAUGCACCAUAUGCGGUAUGACGGAAACCACAUGCUUUGCAACUGGAAAGGUGCGUUCAAACUUGUAAAUUUAAAAGUUAUAGGAGGCCAGGCUUGGUGGCUCAGGACUGUAAUCCCAGCAUUUUGGGAGGCCAGGCA
rnacentral:lncRNA from 1 species